ACUCCUACGGGAGGCAGCAGUGGGGAAUCUUAGACAAUGGGGGCAACCCUGAUCUAGCCAUGCCGCGUGAGUGAAGAAGGCCCUAGGGUUGUAAAGCUCUUUCAGUCGUGAAGAUAAUGACGGUAGCGACAGAAGAAGCCCCGGCUAACUCCGUGCCAGCAGCCGCGGUAAUACGGAGGGGGCUAGCGUUGUUCGGAAUUACUGGGCGUAAAGCGCACGUAGGCGGACCUUUAAGUCGGGGGUGAAAUCCCGGGGCUCAACCCCGGAACUGCCUUCGAUACUGGGGGUCUGGAGUUCGAGAGAGGUGAGUGGAAUUCCGAGUGUAGAGGUGAAAUUCGUAGAUAUUCGGAGGAACACCAGUGGCGAAGGCGGCUCACUGGCUCGAUACUGACGCUGAGGUGCGAAAGCGUGGGGAGCAAACAGGAUUAGAAACCCCUGUAGUCC
rnacentral:rRNA from 1 species